UACGGGGGGGGUAAGCGUUGUUCGGAAUUACUGGGCGUAAAGGGCUCGUAGGCGGCCAACUAAGUCAGACGUGAAAUCCCUCAGCUUAACUGGGGAACUGCGUCUGAUACUGGAUGGCUUGGAUUCGGGAGAGGAAUGCGGAAUUCCAGGUGUAGCGGUGAAAUGCGUAGAUAUCAGGAGGAACACCGGUGGCGAAGGCGGGUCUCUGGGCCGAUACUGACGCUGGAGGAGCGAAAGCGUGGGGAGCGAACAGG
rnacentral:rRNA from 1 species